CGGGGCGUAGCGCAGCCCGGUAGCGCACCUGCUUCGGGAGCAGGGGGUCGCUGGUUCAAAUCCAGUCGCCCCGACCA
rnacentral:tRNA from 1 species